GGAACGGGGGGGGGGCAGAGAGAGAGAGAGAGAGGCGAGCGACGCAAUCCCGCCUGGCAACUCAAUGCAGCCCCUCUUCGCCUCUUAGGCGGGAGCCCAGCUCGGCGGCGGCAGCGGCGGCGGCUCUUGUCAGCCCGCCAAAUCGCCUUGAACCAGCUUUUGAAAAUGAUCGUCAUUCCUGGGACGCUGCCUAGUCGCUUUUCCUAAGUCUUCUGCCGUACAGACUUUUCCAACCAAAAAACAUCUGUCUUUUACCACAAGAUGGCGCGUGAAGGACGAGUAGUUUCUGCCACACCUUCAUUGACCAAACUUCAAGAAACAAAUCUGGUCUGGAAGUGGCAAACCUGUUGUCUGGGUUGUACACUUCGUCGGAGCCUGAUUAAAUGUUCUCGCCGUAUAAAAAGUUAUCUCUUCACAUAGAAAGCGAUAUGAAAGGGAACGGCUUUAGCCUGUCUUCUAACCCGAUAUGCUUUGUGCAGAUUAUUUUUAUUAUGUGAAGUCAUGUGAUCUCCCAUCUGCAGUCUGAAAAAGCCCAGAUACAAGUUUUUCAUUUCCAUGAGAUCUACUGUUUGCAACCACUGCCUGCUAUUAGAAAAUUCCUAAUUUGUUAUAUUACUAGUGGGGCAAAAAUUGGCUUAGGUUCAUAUAACUAAGAGUAAGUAAAUAUCAGAAAUAUAUGCAGGGGCGUAACUAUAAUAGGGAAAGGGGAGACAGUUGUCUGGGGGCCCACUGCCUUGCCCCCUGAAUAUAUGAAUGAUUAUUUACCUAGAAUUCUAAAUUUUUACUCAAAAAUGUAUCACAUUUUAUCUUUACCGUUGCUGUGUGUUCAUUAAGAAGUUCUGAAAUCAAACUAAUUGAAGUGAUCUAGUUGUAUAAAUCCUGGGCCAAGAUAAUGAAGGUGAUGUAACAGCAGCAAAGUAGUAGUGCAAUGCCAUUUUAGAAAUGUACUGUCAUGAGACUGAAGUCAUGAAUGCUGAGUGGCCAGCUCAGUGGCCCAUGAUCCAGGCGGUCAAGAACUGUCCCUGGGAUUAAUGACUGAGAAUUCCAGAGAAUGGAAUUCCACACUCUUACAGAAUGUGGGGAAGCCAUAAGAGUGUGCCUGGGAGCGAGUAGUACAUCUGUGUGUGUGUGUGUGUGUGUGUGUGUGUGUGUGUGUGUGUGACAAAGAGGGAACAAAAUUAGUGACAGGCUGCAGCUAGGGAGACUGAAGAACAAGCAGUUUGUGAAUGAAACAGAGUACAUAUUGCUUACUUCCAUCUGAUACUCAACCUGUGUAUUUGUAAAUAUAUCCAAAAUUACAAAUGCACCCUAAGGUUGCAGUGAUCUUUUCUCAGAAGGAGGCAGUAGUGUUGCCCCCUAGAACUUCUCACCACUUAGGGAUAUGGAGAGCGCAUGUAACAGUAUAGUCAGCAAUGUAUAAUAGAACAAAACUAUAGACAAUAAUAAUAAACCAUUAAAUGACAUUGCUUCUGACAUGGCAAUUAGCCCUUGAGUUGUACAUUCCCAACUGAUUGCCAAGUGGCCUCUUUAUCAAUUUGAAUUGCUCAAUUGCUGUCUCCCAGAGUCAUAGGAUGGACAGUUAAAGAACAAAUAGAAAAUAUUUUUUUGAACAGUCAAAUAUUAAAUGGCUAAAGCUCAACAGUAUUAUACUAUCACCCCCUGAAACAUAUGGCUUUUAUAGCUCAAUCUGGAUCAUUUGUUGAAAGCUCCAGUUUAGUGCAGAAAUCUGUGAAAAAUAUAGCAGAGGAUGUCCGUGAGCAUGUACAGAGAGCAUUCCUUUCACGCUGAGCAAACCACAGUAAGCUCACCCAUAUGGAAAUAGGAACUUCUCAUUCACAAAAGGUGCCUUUGGGGCAGAUUUGUCUCACAGUACAUUGUUGAGAACGUAAACAUUCCCCAUCAGUACCUUAAAUCUUGGCCAUCGAAAAGUCAGUCCAAACAGAAUAAAGUUUCUAAAAGAUGCCCACUAUAGAGCUCGCUACGAGGCACCUCCAUGGUAAUGAUUAAAUGUAUGAACAUGUACUGUACAGCAGUUGGAAAAGUGAUUUAUGAUGGCAAAGAAAUGAAGUCAUUGUUGGUGGUGCAAUGUUGCAUUACAUUUACAUAAUGUUUAACUAAAAUGUGCUUCCUAGACAAACACCAGUUUUUCAUGUUAAACAAUGUAAGGUUUAUUCUCACAUUAAGAAAAAAUCAGUUGGAUUCUGCAAUACCUAUAAGCCAGAUUUUUAAAAAAAUUCUUAAGUUGCUUCAGGCCUAGGUCCUGUUGUAUAUGCAAUAUCUGCAGUGAAAGCAAGGCACUUUGGAAAGUGGUUGCAACAAUUUUCCCCCAUUGCUGGGAUAUUGUGGAUUCUGGAACGCUGGGUACAAACAGAGCAGGGUGUAUACUUAAAUGGUAGAAAGUGGAAACAGUUGGACAAAAACCAUGUCAGGGUUUUGCUGCAGUGAUGCUUUAAAUUUAAAUUUCACUUUUUGAAAAGCCAUGCCAUAUGAAGCUCUGUGCAGAGUGAAGCAUUAACACCCCAUAUUGUGCAAAAAAUGCAGUAAUUAUAUUAUCAAAGCCCUGUUUUCCAAUUUCCUGUAAGCUAGUCAGGUGGACAGAAAAUAAAUGUCAGUGGUACCAUUUUCCAAUUCGAAGUGAAAGGGCAGGGCCUCUGAUCUAAUAAUGUUGGAAGAUAAUGUUUUGACUGCUAUCAAAGCAGCUGAUUGAUGUCUUCACUUCAGCAGCACCGCAACAAGUCAUGUAUUACCUAAAAAAGAGUCCUUUAAAAUCAUUUGCUUUCCAACUGACCAGACUUCUCUAAUAUAUCCUUAUUAAAAUGUUCUUUAAACUGCAA